rnacentral:rRNA from 1 species
AUGAUAAAGGCGCUGCAAAAUUCCCUUGGCGUCUUGACUAAUGAUCCAGGUGAGCUCAAAGCAAUGGUACAACAAUUUUAUGAAACUUUGUACACAUCAGAAGGUGUAAACAAUAUGGAAGCAGUCCUAAAUUGUGUACCAACAAAAGUGACCGCGGAGAUGAAUGAGCUACUGGUUGCACCAUACAAGGAAGAGGAGGUAAAGACAACCCUCUUUCAGAUGUUUCCGACCAAAGCACCGGGCCCUGAUGGUUUCCCAGCUCACUUUUAUCAGCAUCAUUGGGAUCUGUGCGGUGCCGAGGUUACAGAGGCGGUUCUCAGGAUCAUUCGAGGAGAGGAAAGUUCGUAA